rnacentral:rRNA from 1 species
UGUCUCUUGAUUUUUAAUAUGAGAUAAAAUCUGCCCUAUGAUUAAAUUAAAUGGCCGCAGUAUUUUGACUGUGCGAAGGUAGCAUAAUAGUUUGUCUUUUAAUUGGAGUCUGGAAUGAAUGAUUUAAUGGAAGAAUUACUGUCUUUUUAAUAAUUCUGAAUUUUUAAGUUAGGUGAAGAUACUUAAAUAAUUAUAAAAGACGAGAAGACCCCAUUAAGUUUUAUGUUUAUUAUUAGUUUUAGGUAAAAUUUAAAUGAUUUUAGCAUUUAGUUGGGGCAACAGUUAUAUAGGAAAAACUUUAAUUUUGUUAAAUAUUUAUUUAUAUCUAAUUAUUAUGAUCCAUUGGCUUGAUUAAUAGAAGAAAUUACUGUGGGGAUAACAGCGUAAUUUCUUUUUAGAGUUCUUAUCGAUGGAGAAGAUUGCGACCUCGAUGUUGGAUUAAGAUACUUAUUUGGCGCAGGUGUUAAAUGAGGUAGUCU